CCUACGGGAGGCAGCAGUGAGGAAUAUUGGUCAAUGGGCUUACGCCUGAACCAGCCAAGUCGCGUGAGGGAAGACUGCCCUAUGGGUUGUAAACCUCUUUUGUCAGGGAGCAACGCCGGCUACGUGUAGCCGGACUGAGAGUACCUGAAGAAAAAGCAUCGGCUAACUCCGUGCCAGCAGCCGCGUGAAUACGGAGGAUGCGAGAGUUAUCCGGAUUUAUUGGGGUGAAAGGGUGAGUAGGAGGAAUGCGAAGUCAGCGGUAAAAUCGCGGGGCUCAAGCUCGCUACGCCGUUGAAACUGGCCGUCGUGAGUGUACGAGAAGUAUGCGGAAUGCGUGUUGUAGCUGUCAUAUUCC
rnacentral:rRNA from 1 species